rnacentral:lncRNA from 1 species
CUCACAUCCCCCGCGGAGGCCUCUCCGGCGAGCCGGGAGGGAGAACUUAAAGAGAAACGGAGACAUGAUGGGGGCAAAUCUUUUUCACCCCAGAGGAUUACGCAAGCUAAGGGAAUGGCCUGUGAGAGAGGCUGAGCGUCUCAGUGCAGCCCUUUCCAAGCCAGUUUUCCCUAUCCUUUGUGGACUAACAACAGCAGCUCGUUUUUUCCAGGGAAAACUCAAGGAAAUCCAUCGCUUCCAAAUGAUUCACUCCUCCAACCUGGCAGCCAGUUUCAAGAAAAAAAGAUGUCUGAAGGAGUCUGAAGCACACUUGUCUUUCUUGCUGAGCUUCCUGUGCAACAUCUCCUCCCGACGGACUGCAGCCCUUUGCAGCUCCUUUCCUGAUCUCCACACAGCUACACAGCUCACCUCCUCCUGCCCCUUCUCGCAGCUUCUUUCUGUCUUACAAGCCUUAGUAACCUGCACACUGGUUAGAGUAGAGCUGUGUAUUUGUCCUCAUGCUCUGCACCAGGGGACAGCAUAG